GGGGGGUUAGUCCAAACAAGACCUCUGAUUUCGACUCAGAGAAUCACGGUUUAACCUCGUGAUCCCUUU
rnacentral:tRNA from 1 species